rnacentral:misc_RNA from 1 species
CCCCAGAGGAUACUCCUGUCCCUGCAAGGAGUGUAAGUAAAAGAAAAAAAUGUAUUUUCAGAGCUUUGAACUGAAUUAUUACUGUUAAUUCUGAAAGUUUAGAACCUCUUGAUUUCACACAAACAUGAAUUGGCUUACAUCUAAUCAGUAUAUCUAAAUCAAUGCAGACCCAUUUUGCAGGUUAAAAUGUAAGGAAAAACUCUU